GCAUAUCAAUAAGCGGAGGAAAAGAAACCAACCGGGAUUGCCUCAGUAACGGCGAGUGAAGCGGCAAGAGCUCAAAUUUGAAAGCUGGCCCCUCCGGGGUCCGCAUUGUAAUUUGCAGAGGAUGCUUCGGGUGCAGCCCCCGUCUAAGUGCCCUGGAAUGGGCCGUCAGAGAGGGUGAGAAUCCCGUCUGGGAUGGGGUGCCUGUGCCCGUGUGAAGCUCCUUCGACGAGUCGAGUUGUUUGGGAAUGCAGCUCUAAAUGGGUGGUAAAUUUCAUCUAAAGCUAAAUAUUGGCCGGAGACCGAUAGCGCACAAGUAGAGUGAUCGAAAGAUGAAAAGCACUUUGAAAAGAGAGUUAAACAGCACGUGAAAUUGUUGAAAGGGAAGCGCUUGCGACCAGACUCGCCUCCGGGGUUCAGCCGGCAUUCGUGCCGGUGUACUUCCCCGGGGGCGGGCCAGCGUCGGUUUGGGCGGCCGGUCAAAGGCCUCCGGAAUGUAGCGCCCUUCGGGGCGCCUUAUAGCCGGGGGUGCAAUGCGGCCAGCCUGGACCGAGGAACGCGCUUCGGCUCGGACGCUGGCAUAAUGGUCGUAAACGACCCGUCUUGAAACACGGACCAAGGAGUCUAACAUCUACGCGAGUGUUCGGGUGUCAAACCCGUACGCGCAGUGAAAGCGAACGGAGGUGAGAGCCCCCCCGUGGGGCGCAUCAUCGACCGAUCCUGAAGUCUUCGGAUGGAUUUGAGUAAGAGCGUAGCUGUGGGGACCCGAAAGAUGGUGAACUAUGCCUGAAUAGGGCGAAGCCAGAGGAAACUCUGGUGGAGGCUCGCAGCGGUUCUGACGUGCAAAUCGAUCGUCAAAUUUGGGUAUAGGGGCGAAAGACUAAUCGAACCAUCUGGUAGCUGGUUCCUGCCGA
rnacentral:rRNA from 1 species